UGGGGAAUUUUGCACAAUGGGGGAAACCCUGAUGCAGCGACGCCGCGUGUUUUAGAAGGCCUUCGGGUUGUAAAAAUCUUUUGUAUGGGAAGAAAAUGACAGUACCAUACGAAUAAGGACCGGCUAAUUACGUGCCAGCAGCCGCGGUAAUACGUAAGGUCCGAGCGUUGUCCGGAAUCAUUGGGCGUAAAGGGUACGUAGGCGGAUAAGCAAGUUAGAAGUGAAAUCCUAUAGCUCAACUAUAGUAAGCUUUUAAAACUGCUCAUCUUGAGGUAUGGAAUGGAAAGUGGAAUUCCUAGUGUAGCGGUGAAAUGAGCAGGUAUUAGGAGGAAUACCGGUGGCGAAGGCGACUUUCUGGCCAUAAACUGACGCUGAGGUACGAAAGCGUGGGUAGCAAACAGG
rnacentral:rRNA from 1 species